rnacentral:rRNA from 1 species
UACGAAGGGGGCUAGCGUUGUUCGGAAUUACUGGGCGUAAAGCGCACGUAGGCGGAUUGUUAAGUCAGAGGUGAAAUCCCGGAGCUCAACUUCGGAACUGCCUUUGAUACUGGCAAUCUAGAGUCCGGAAGAGGUUAGUGGAAUUCCCAGUGUAGAGGUGAAAUUCGUAGAUAUUGGGAAGAACACCGGUGGCGAAGGCGGGUCUCUGGGCCGAUACUGACGCUGAGGCGCGACAGCGUGGGGAGCAAACAGG